rnacentral:lncRNA from 1 species
GGCUGAACCCACGGCAUAUGAAAGUUCCCAGGCUAGAAGUCUAAUCGGAUCUACAGCUGCUGGUCUACACCACAGCCACAGCAAUGCCAGAUCCAAGACGCAUCUUCGACCUACACCACAGUUCAUGGCAAUGCCAGAUCCUUAACCCACUGAGCAAGGCCAGGAAUUGAACCCACAACCUCAUGGUUUCUAGUUGGAUUUGUUUCCAUUGUGCCAUGGCAGGAACUCCCUAGUAACAUCGAAGACGACUGAUCACAGAUCAUCAUAACAAAUAUCCUAACAAUGAAAAAGUUUGAAAUAUUGUGAGAAUUACCAAAAUGUGACACACAGACAGGAAGUAAGCAAAUGCUGCUGCAAAAAUGGCCCCCACAGACUUGCCAAGGUUGCCACAAACAUUUAAUUUAAAAAAAAUCCAUUAUCUGGAACGUGCAAUAAAGCAAAGUGCAAUAAAGGCACACCUGUCAUUGGCAGAAUCAGUACUUCCCAGUGGGUACUUCAAGUGGGUCUGUUGGCAAAGGCCAUGUCACCACCCACAGAAUGCCAGGCUCAGGAAGCUCAGAGGCCCCAAGUCACAUAUUAUACAGAACAGUCAUUUUAGAAUUUGUUAAUAAAAUCUAAACUGAAGACUUAGUCCUCCUUCCCUGUCCCUCUCCAACUGUCUAGUCACUGAAGAGGGACAGUCAUAGGCCAAAAUACAGAAUAUUCAGGGGAUGGGGAAAGAAUGAAACAGAACAAUCUACAAACCAGAAAACUACCCCCUACACAGGAAUCCAGUGGUGUCCUUCAGCUACACCACACUGAGGAGGCACAUGUAGUUUUUUUUUUCCAUAUUUGAUCCUAAAAACAAUGAAAAUGAUGAAAUGGAAGUAAAAUGCUAAUAAUCUCAAAUAUUCCAUGCUCUUCCUGCUACACAGGUGUGUAUCACCUUGGUUUCUCUGGACCGGGACCAAGGAAAUGCUCCAUGAAUGUUGGAUGGAUGAAUGGAUGGAUAGAUAGAUGAAUGGAUGAAUGGAAUAACACUGUUGUCAGUAAUAAUGCCUUCCCAUCUAGGUGGAAUUCAAAUCUGUACUAUUCCAAUCAUUUGAUAUUUGGAGACAUAUUUGUCAUUUUAAUACUCGUAAUAUAACACAAGCUAUUUUAGCUUUAUCUUCUGUGAGCAUAUGGAGGAAAGAAUAUGAAUGUUUUGUUGCAAGGGAACAGGCUGCCUACUUAAAGAUCGUUUUCCAAAGAUUGUGACAGAAGCCCAAUUAUUGUCUUUUUAAAAACAAAACAAAAUAAAUGUUCCAGGAAAGACCCUUUAUGAGCACAAGUGGAGCUUUCUACCUAGGACAAUAAAAGAAAAUCCAAAGAAGAAUCAGUUCCAUGAACGGAGGGCCUCCGUAUGUCCUUCAAGGGGGAGGUGCUCUGGAGACUCCAAAGGAACCCUGACCUCAAGGAGCUUCUCAUCGAGUUGUUCAUUUACCAGCUAGAGAAUAAAACUUAGGAGGCAAGGAAAUGGCAUUGUGGUCUUUAACUCAGGCAGAGGGGGCAUAACGAUCAUUGCCAGGAAUGCAAAAGUAGUUACACAGAAGCUGAGGCCCAACACACUCCACCCUUACUAAGGACAACAAAGCUUUAAGAUUUUUAGUUAAGAAUAAGGACUGACUUCCUGAAAAAAAAAAAAAGCAAAAACCCUUUUCUGGUUCCAGUAGAUUUUCAGUCCUAUGGUCAGUAUAAGGUUUUCAAAUGGCUCCUUCUAGGCUGCGGUCUGAGGUAGGACGAAGGAAAAGGAAUGAGGGAGGACAGAGAGGUAGCCUUUGCCCCACCUUCAACAAGAGAAGCUCCUCGUGGACCUACUUUCUGUGCUGGGCUUUAUUUAGGAAAAAAGGGGAUGGGGACUUCUGCUACUAAAAAAUGAAUAACAAUUUGGGCACCACUAUUAUAGAACAUUGGCUAAAUCUCAUUCAUUGGUCUUUCAAUAAAUAUGGAACCCAGGAGUUCCCGUCGUGGUGCAGAGGUUAACGAAUCUGACUAGGAACCAUGAGGUUGCGGGUUCGAUCCCUGCCCUUGCUCAGUGGGUUAACGAUCCGGCGUUGCCGUGAGCUGUGGUGUAGGCUGGCGGCUACAGCUCCGAUUAGACCCCUAGCUUGGGAACCUCCGUAUGCCACAGGAGUGGCCCAAGAAAUGGCAAAAAGACAAAAAUAUAUAUAUAUAUGGAAUCCAGUACAAAACUAGACAAGAUAUGGACACAACCUAAGCACCCACUGAUGGAUCUGGAUUCUUAAAAUUAUAUGCAAAUGAUAUGACCCCUAAGGGGUUAAUAUCCAAAAUAUAUAAAUAGCUCAAACAACUCAACAUCAAAAAGAGACAGACAACCUGAUAGAAAAAUGGGUAAAGGACCUGAGCAGACAUUUUUCCAAAGAGGAAAUGCAGACAACUGGCACCUGAAAAGAUGUUCAGCAUCACUAAUUAUCAGGGAAAUACAAAUUAAAAGCACCAUAUCACCUCACACCUGUCAGAAUGGCCAUCACCAAAAGGGAUAAUACAAAUAACCAAUGUUGGUGAAGAUGUGGAGAAAAGGGAGCCCUAUACACUGCUGGUAAAAAUGUAAAUUGGUGUAGCCACAGUAGAAAGCAGUAUGGAGAUUUCUCAAAAAACGAAAAACAGAACUACCAUAUAACCCAGAAAUUCCACUCCUGGAUAUACAUUCCAAAAAAACCCAAAAACCUUUCAUUUGAAAAAAUACAUGCACCCCAAUGUUCACAGCAGCAUUAUUUACAAUCUCCAAGAUAGAGAAACAACCCAAGUGUGCAUCCACAGAAGAAUGGAUAAAGAUGUAAUGUAUAUAUUACAUAAUAUAUAUAAACACCGUACAUAAUAAUGUAAUAGUAUAACAACAUAUACAUACUGGAAUAUUACUCAGCCAUAAAAAGAACAAAAUUUUGCCAUUUGUAAAGACACGGAUGGACUUGGAGGAUAUCACACUAAGUGAAGUUAAGUCAGACAGAGAAAGACAAAUACCAUAUAAUUAUCACUUCUACCUGGAAUCUAAAAAAUACAACAAACUAAUGCAUAUAACAAAAAAGAAAUAGACUCAUAGAUAUAAAGAAACUAGUGCUUAUUGAUAGGGAGAGGGGCAGUAGAGGGAGAGGGGAUCAAGAGGUAUAAACCAUUAUGUGUAAAAUAAGCUACGAGGAUAUAUUGUACACACAGGAAAUACAGCCGAUAUUUGAUAAUAACUACAAAGAGAGUAUAAUCUUUAAAGUUGUGCAUCACUAUAGGGUACACCUGCAACUUAUAUAAUAUUGCACAUCAACUAUACUUCAAUUUGAAAAAAAUGUAAUGCAUAUACAGCAGUUCCCCCUUAGCCUCGGUUUCACUUUUCACAGUUUCAGUUACCCAUGGUCAGCCAUGGUCCAAAAAUAUUACAUGGAAAAUUCCAGAAAUAAUCAAUUCAUAAGUUUUAAAUUGUUUUGAGUAGCUUGAUGAAACUUCAUGUUCUCCUGUUCCAUCCUGACCAUUAGUCCAGCAUAACGUACCCCUUAGUCACCUAGGAACUGUCUGGGUUAUCGGAUCAACUGUUGUAAUAACUUAGUGCUUCUGUUAAAGUUACCCGUAUUUUCUUAAUAAUGGUCCCAAAGCACAUGAGUAGUGAUGCUGGUGAUUCAGAUCUCCCAAAGAGAAGUCAUAAAGCCCUUCCUUUAAGUGAAAAGGUGCAAGAUCUCAACCUAAUAACGAAAAAAAAUCGUAUGCUGAGAUUGCUAAAAUGAAUCUUCUGUUUGUGAAAUUGUGAAGAAGACAAAAACUCUGUGAAAUUGUGAAGAAGAAAAAAUUUUGCUGUUGCACCUCAAACUGCAAAAGUUACAGCCAUAGCGUGUGUUAAGUGUUUCAUGAAGAUGGAAGAGUCUUAACUUUACACAGUAAAAUAUUUUGAGACAGAGACCACAUUCACAUAACUUUUAUUCCAGUAUAUUGUUAUAACUGUCCUAUUUUAUUAUUAGUUAUUGCUGUUCAUCUCUUACUGCACUUAAUUUAUAAAUUAAACUUGAUCAGAAAUGUACAUAUAGGAAAAGACAUAGUAUACGUAAGGUUUGCUACUUUCCACAGUUUUCAGCAUCCAUUAGGGGUCUUAGACCAUAUUUCCUGUGGAUAAGAAAUAUAUAUAUAUAUAUACAUACAAACACUGAAAAAGAAGGAAACCUUGACAUUUGCAACAACAUAGACGAACCUGGAAGACAUUAUGCUAAGGAAAAUAAGCCAGACACAGAAAGAUAAAUAUUAUAGGAUGUCACUCAUAUAUAGAAUCUAGAAAUGUAAAACUCAGAGAACCAGAGAGUAGAACUGUGGUUGCCAGGGACUGGGAGCACGGGGCAAACAGAGAGCGCUGGUCAAAGGGUAUACACUUCUAGUUAAAAGAGGAAUAAAUU